rnacentral:tRNA from 1 species
AUUUUGAUAGCUUAAGUUUUAAAAGCAUAAUAUUGAAGAUAUUAUUAUAGUUUUAAACUUCAAAAUA